GAAGGCUUUGAAAGGGAUCCAAAGAAGCAAUCACAUGCAUGUGCAACUAUUUUUUCACCAGGCAAGAAUAUAUGGAAUGUGAAUGAAGCUUCAGCAUAGCUCUGCAAGUCUAUCUAGAGGGGAUCAUGGGAGGAUUCAUAUGAGGUUUACUUCUCCUUGCAGAAGAAGAAAAGAAAAAGGCCCUUACAGGUGGGAACAAAUGUAAAUGUACACUGAAAAGUAAAGGUGGAAAUGUGGAGCCAAGCACAUUUGCUGGAGAAUGGAGAAC